rnacentral:rRNA from 1 species
UACGAAGGGGGCUAGCGUUGUUCGGAUUUACUGGGCGUAAAGCGCACGUAGGCGGAUCGUUAAGUCGGGGUGAAUCCUGGAGCUCAACUCCAGAACUGCCUUCGAUACUGGCGAUCUCGAGUCCGGAAGAGGUGAGUGGAACUCCUAGUGUAGAGGUGGAAUUCGUAGAUAUUAGGAAGAACACCAGUGGCGAAGGCGACUCACUGGUCCGGUACUGACGCUGAGGUGCGAAAGGCGUGGGGAGCAAACAGGA